GUCCAGGGGCGGGAAUCGAACCCACAACCUUCUGCUUACCGGGCAGGUGCCAUGUCCACUAGGCUUCCCUGGA